UUGGCAGAAAAGAAAAUUUGUUGUGACCAUUAUCAUACACCUUCGUCUGUCUCACCCCAUUCUCCUGUGCACCUUUCUUCCACUAGAAUAUUUCUUGGAUUCACUUUCCUGUCUGUGACUCUCAUGGGGACAAUGACCCAUCAUGUCUAUGAAUUUCUCUUUCUUCAAAAACAUAAACACUAACAAACAAUUAAUUAAUCUCUCACACUCUUUAUUUUUUCCAUGGUCACUCUCAUUACAACCUGCAAGUCCUUUUUCGUCUUUACAGUUUUCGUUUUCUUUAUAACUCUGCCUACUACUCUUGCAUCUCUUCAGCGCAGGAAUCAAUAAAACCAUCCCAGAAUUAGGGUUUCUGCUAGCCAUGCUUUUCACUUUUAGCUCUAAGGUUGGCCUUUCUAUAGCUGUAGUUCAUUGCUCAACUUCAACUUCUUUUUUAUCUCUCUCAUCCAAAACUCACCAAGGAAAGCUGAGAGUUUUCCUCUCCUUUCAGAUUUAUCCCUUCUUUUUAUCCCAAUUUCAUGAGUUGGGUUUCCUUCUUUCCCACUUUUUCUCAUCUGAUCUUCACCUUCAAAAGUAGGGUUUUCUUCAAUUGUGAUCUGGUCACAGACUUUUGUAGUAUGGCCUAAUUACCUUGAUCGGCACUAAUUAUUGUGAAAAAGUCUGUCAAGUGAAAACUGGUCUGCAUAUGAAUCAUUUCUGAGCUUAUAAUAAACUUGCAUGGACAUAUCCACAUACACACACACAUAUAAAAGAAUCUGAUUUUUGCUGCUAUGGUACCUUUGCUUUCUUCUUCCCUCUUCUUGCAAGAAAAAAAAAUGUACAUGUACUGCAGACUUCCAUCAGCUUUGUCACAUUGGGAAGGAAAGAGAGUGAAGGAGCUUCCCUCAGCCCAUUCAUGGACACAAAAGAUUGGGUUGCAAACUUAAUCACUAACUCAUUCACACAUUAGUAUUGAGUUAGGGUGAUGCUCUUUUUGCUAUGAUAUGAUUGUGUGAAUGAAGUGGUGCACACGUAUAUUGUGACCCUCUUUCGUUGUGCUUGGACUGAAGGGAGCUCCUUCUUUCUGUUGCCUCCAUUUGUUUCCAUCUCUCAGAUGGCUUUAUGCAUGUCUAAGCUUAAUCUAUAUAUACUUAGCACAAAAAAGGUGAGGCCAGUACACUGUAGCUGAUGUUACAUAUCAUCUUCUGGCUCUAUGUAAGUAUCUACUCUCUGCCAAAAAACUGCACAAGAUUCAGCAAAAACAUCUGCACAGUUGCAUAUGAACAGUUAUCAUGCACUAAUUUGUUUAGCUUAGUCUUUAAAAAUGAUCACUGCAUAUAUCUAUAUACGAAUUUAUGUUAUUACUUAGUACACAAAACUCUAUGCCACUUCCUUUCAGGUUAUUUGGUAAGUUUCUCUUCGAUCUCUUUCUCUCUACAGUACUUUUCUGAGUUCUUCCUUUGGGGUUUGGGAAAGCAAAUUUUAGGUUAAAAGUGAGUAAUUCAUUUGCAUCUGUAUUGCUACUGUCUACUCUUUUCAAUUUUAGGUUCCGUGACCUUACAGAUAAUUAGCAUGUGCCAAAUCAUUAUUAUUAUUUUUUUCACUCACUAUUUCUGCUUAUCCAAUCUUUUUUUUUCCAUAAAUGUCUUAUCAUCACUUUAUAAUUAAUGUUAUUCAUUUACCUAAAUGUAAAUGGCAUGUGGGGUAUAGUAUAAAGAGGAAAUAACAUAUGUAUUUAUGUAGUAAAAAUGUAUGCGAAAGUAAAGGUAAUUUUUUUACAGCAGUAGAUAUCUACAAACUAAAGUUUAAUUAAACUGUAGAAGAACUUGUUAUUCAUUUAUGAGUGAUAUAAAUCAUAAGUAGUUUUGAUUGUUGUUGCAUUUGCAUGUUGAAGUGAGUGUGAAGACGAAAUUGAAGGUGUGCAUUACUCAUUUCUAUGCACGAAUUACUCAAAUCUCUUUCAUUUUCCAAGGUAGGAGGAGUAUGGUUUGACUAAACAAAUGCUGCUAUAGUCCACGUUCGGAUGUUCCUUCUGGCUUUAACACAGAGCAAACUGCAUUAGUUAAAUAUUGAUUCUCCUCUACACUCGAGAAGUUGCACCUGCAAAUUUUCAUUAACAUAUUGAAUUGCCAUUAACUAUAAACAGUAAUCUGUUGUGUCUUUUUGCCUAAAGCAGAUAGUUUAUCCCAUCAUAAUGAGAUUUAUUUUAAAUGUGGCUUUAAAAUUAGUGAUAAAUACUUCUGACAUGUAUGCAGCAUAAAGCUGAAACUUCUUGUGUUUCCUCAAGUUCACUGUGAACAUUUGAAUUAGUGUACA